rnacentral:rRNA from 1 species
ACCUGACCUCGGAUCAGUCGUGACUACCCGCUGAACUUAAGCAUAUCAAUAAGCGGAGGAAAAGAAACUAACAAGGAUUCCCUUAGUAACGGCGAGUGAAGAGGGAGAAGCCCAGCACCGAAGCCUGCGGCAGUUUUGCUGUUAGGCAAUGUGGUGUUUAGGCCGGCUCGCGGGACUGCCGCUCCAUUCUAAGUCCAGCUUUGAGUAUGGCUUCUGGACUUGGCCCAGAGAGGGUGAGAGGCCCGUCCGAAUGGAGGAUAAGAGAAGUGGGCAGUUCACUAGGCCGGCCUUCGAGUCGGGUUGUUUGAGAAUGCAGCCCAAAGUGGGUGGUAGACUCCAUCCAAGGCUAAAUACUGGCACGAGUCCGAUAGCGAACAAGUACCGUGAGGGAAAGUUGAAAAGUACUUUGAAGAGAGAGUAAACAGUACGUGAAACCGCAUAGAGGUAAACGGGUGGCGUCAAGCUGCACGCCUAGAGGAUUCAGUCGGUCAGGAUGUUGUGUGUGCGCCUGGCGCAUCUAUCAGUCAGAGUGAGACUGGGUGGUCCACUGGGUGACAGUGGGCCCAGCCUUUCGGGGCUGGGAUUGGCGUGCCGUGUUGUGUGCGGAGCCUGCCGCCUGUCUGGGGACUGUCUGGCCGAUGCACUUUCUCUGUGGCGAACACCACGAUCGGUGGUACUGCCAGUCUGCUGUGGCGAAGUCAGGUCUGGUCGGUGGCCGUAUUCGCGUAUUGUUGUUGGCCCGGCCUGAUCAUAGGCAGGCGGUCUGCGGGCGUGCGUGGAGACACGUGUGUCCCGUGGGCCGGUUUGUCAACGGGCCUGUCUGCCGGCGAUUGUAGUAGUCGGCGGAUGGCCUGGUGAAGCCAUGGUGGUAGGAAUAACUGUGCAGGGCACCGGUGAUGUCGGUCUCGAAUUUGGCUCGCACGCACACUACAAGUGUUGUCGGCGUGGGGCGUCGUUGCGGUCUGCCUGUGAUCGGGUUUGGCUGUCGUGUUGCCUGCACAAAGCGGGUCCGGCGGUAGCCUGGUCUUGGAUGGCAUCGUUGGCGGCGUCUCCGGGUGCGGGCUGAUGUGGGCCUAACAGUCAGUGGUGUAGUGGUAGACGAGCUACCCGACCCGUCUUGAAACACGGACCAAGGAGUUCAACAUGUGCGCAAGUCACUGGGCGCUACGAAACCCAAGGGCGAAAUGAACGUGAAGCCUCGGCUCGACCGAGGUGUGGUGAGAUCCUGCUGUUACUCGCAUGAGCAGUGCAACUUUUCUGUGUGCUGGUGGAACAGCACCAGGCUAAGAGCAGUAGGCGCAUCACCGGCCCGUCUCAUGAAGUCGCGCUGUCUGCGGGCUGUCGUCGUCCUGCUGUGCAUUAACGUGGGCAGUGGCGGCGGCGGCAGUCUGCGCGGUGUGUCUUCGGGGCGGAGCAUGAGCGCACACGUUGAGACCCGAAAGAUGGUGAACUAUGCUUGCGUAGGUUGAAGCCAGAGGAAACUCUGGUGGAGGACCGCAGCGAUUCUGACGUGCAAAUCGAUCGUCAAACGUGAGCAUAGGGGCGAAAGACUAAUCGAACCAUCUAGUAGCUGGUUCCCUCCGAAGUUUCCCUCAGGAUAGCUGGCGCCCAUUCGCAUACUCAGUUUUAUCCGGUAAAGCGAAUGAUUAGAGGUACUGGGUUCGAAACGAGCUCAACCUAUUCUCAAACUUUAAAUGGGUGAGAUGCCCGGCUCGCCUAAUAGGAGUCGGGCGUAGAAUGUGCGGGUGCCAAGUGGGCCAUUUUUGGUAAGCAGAACUGGCGCUGUGGGAUGAACCAAACGCUCGGUUAAGGUGCCUAACGCUGACGCUCAUGAGAUACCACAAAAGGUGUUGGUCAAUAUAGACAGCAGGACGGUGGCCAUGGAAGUCGGCAUCCGCUAAGGAGUGUGUAACAACUCACCUGCCGAAUCGACCAGCCCUGAAAAUGGAUGGCGCUGGAGCGUCGGACCUAUACCGGGCCGUCAUCGCAAGCUGAGUAGGUGUGUCUAUUUCGGAUGUGAUGUGCGAGCGUCCUAUGGCCGGUGUAUGUGCGUUGUGCGUGUGUAAGCACCGGUGGGCGUGCAGACGUCAUUACUCAGGCAAGGAGUGCGGUGGCGAGUAGGAGGGUCGCCGUGGUGAGCGUUGAAGCCUCGGACGUGAGUCUAGGUGGAGCCGCCACGGGUGCAGAUCUUGGUGGUAGUAGCAAAUAUUCAAGUGAGAACCUUGAAGGCCGAGGUGGAGAAGGGUUCCAUGGGAACAGCAGUUGACCAUGGGUCAGGCGGUCCUAAGCGAUCCGGUGACUCGGUACAGAGACAUGGGGUGCCUUGCACUUGUGUGUGUGUGUACGUGUGUACUUACUAUACGCUUGGCUACCCCCCGGAGCGAAAGGGAAUCGGGUUAAUAUUCCCGACCUUGCACACGGAGAUAGGCGGCGUGUGGCUAGGGCCUCUCACGGGGCCCGUGUCGUGCGUCGCCAAGCGCGGUAACGCAACCGAACUGGG